CCUACGGGAGGCAGCAGUGGGGAAUCUUGCGCAAUGGGCGAAAGCCUGACGCAGCCAUGCCGCGUGAAUGAUGAAGGUCUUAGGAUUGUAAAAUUCUUUCACCGAGGACGAUAAUGACGGUACUCGGAGAAGAAGCCCCGGCUAACUUCGUGCCAGCAGCCGCGGUAAUACGAAGGGGGCUAGCGUUGCUCGGAAUUACUGGGCGUAAAGGGAGCGUAGGCGGAUAGUUUAGUCAGAGGUGAAAGCCCAGGGCUCAACCUUGGAAUUGCCUUUGAUACUGGCUAUCUUGAGUACGGAAGAGGUAUGUGGAACUCCGAGUGUAGAGGUGAAAUUCGUAGAUAUUCGGAAGAACACCAGUGGCGAAGGCGACAUACUGGUCCGUUACUGACGCUGAGGCUCGAAAGCGUGGGGAGCAAACAGGAUUAGAUACCCUGGUAGUCCACGCUGUAAACGAUGAGUGCUAGUUGUCGGCAUGCAUGCAUGUCGGUGACGCGAGCUACGACAUUAAGACACUCCGCCGUCGGGGAGGUACGGUCGCGAAGAAGUUAAAACUUAAAUUAGUAAGUUAGACGGCGUGAGACGUCGCCGAACGGACGACCGACGAGGGAGGUUAGG
rnacentral:rRNA from 1 species